rnacentral:rRNA from 1 species
UACGUAGGGUGCAAGCGUUGUCCGGAAUCACUGGGCGUAAAGGGCGCGUAGGUGGUCUGAUAAGGGUGUGGUGAAAUCCCCGGGCUCAACCUGGGACUUGCAGUUGAAACUGGAAAGCUAGAGUAGGGUAGAGGGGUGUGGAAUUCCAGGUGUAGCGGUGAAAUGCGUAGAUAUCUGGAGGAACAUCAGUGGCGAAGGCGACACCCUGGACUCAUACUGACACUGAGGUGCGAAAGCGUGGGGAGCAAACAGG